rnacentral:lncRNA from 1 species
ACCCGACGUUUCGGGCCUUGAUCGUGCGCCGUCUUCGCAUACAAGAUACUUCAGGGCAUUACCCGGUGAAUAAAUACAAUUCCUUCGAGGCAUUCCCCGGUAAAUGAAUACAAUUUCAAUUUCUUGAGAUAAACUAGAAAGCAUUCAACACAUUCAACAAUCCACACAUUCAAUCCAACAUCAUUCCUAAAUUUGCCUUCCUGAACCUAAAC